CAGGUUCCCCAGCUCCAGCUCCUCGUCGCACUGGCCGAGCUCGGCGCCCCCGCCGUACUUGCGUUCGGGGUCCGGCGACUCUUGGAAGGCCGAGUCCUCGGUGCUGUUGCCGCCGUCCUCCUCGUCGCUGGUCGCGAAGCCUGAAAGCAAGGACAAGAUGAAAGAAGGGGACAAUCUUUGCCAAAGGAAUCACCAUGGCUUUAUACCUACAUGGAGCAGCUAGUUUGUUUCAAAUGACUAAACGUGCCACCAACAUUUAGAGACUACCAGGAACUAAUAAAAAAUUAGAGUAUAAACUCUAAGGAAAAAAGUCCUAUAGCAUUUAUAUUAUACACAUACAACUGCAAAACACAGAGGAAAGUUGUAGCAACCACCAUUCUCUGGAAUUAUAAACAAUGUUGUUUUAACAACAGCAAUAUUAAAUGCUACAGUUUUAGAAGUCACAAAAUCAGUUGCAUUGAUAUUCCGUACUAUUUGCAGAUGAGACAGGGAGGGCAAAAGAUACUUUUGCAUUGAUGCUCAAACAAAUGUUCAGGCCUCGGAGCUCAAUCUCUUCUUUUAAUUUAGCAGCUUACUGCUGUUAACUGUGUGAUCCACAGGACAGAUAAUAGAAAGAAGCUAAUUCUCUGCUGUCACAAAUGCUGCUCCCAGAACCAUGUAAAAGCUGGGCAUCCAAGUGAUCAGAGGCUGAGUGCAUCUCCUUUCUGUUGUUGGGUGCAAUCAGCUUUCAUUAAUGGUGUAUUGUCAGUGUAAAAGGUUAGUUCCAAUUUUACCCUUGAUUACAUUUUUAUUGUAUUUCAGUAGUGAAAACAAUAGCUGUAAGCAUGAAUUUAUAAACUUUAUUCUAGGUACAGGCUAAAGUGACACGUUCCAUCCCAUUCCAUGUUGAUUGUUUGCAAUAAAAGAUUGAAGCAUAAUUUUGAACAGUA